rnacentral:lncRNA from 12 species
UUGGGGACAUUGCUGCUAUAAAUACUGGGGUGCAUAUGCCCCUUCAUAUCACCAUAUUUGUGUCUUUAAAUAUCUAGUAGUGCAAUUGUUGGGUUGUAGGGUAGUUGAACUUUUAACUUUGUGAGGAACCUCUAUAGUGUAAAUUAUUAAAAGCAACUAACUUACUGGCAAGGCCACAAUGCUCUAAAUAUCUUCUUUCCUUAUCACUAACCUUCAAAGAAUUUUCUGAGCCUAACUGUGAAACACCAACACUAUUUUUCCAAAGCCCCUUUACUAAACAUGACAACAAUCACUGCCAUACCCUGUGCUUUAAGUAUACGUAAACUAACAUUAAGCUAAUCCCAUAUAGAAAAAAAGCUAGUCUAGAUGCCUGCCAAGAUACUGGAACACAGCACACACCACUGAUCUACCCUCACUGAAUCCCUUGAAAACUGCAACCUCCCCAGUUCUAGAAUACACCAAGGUCCACACCUGUUUCCCCAAACAUAAAAAUAUUCACCAACAUAAUAUUUGUUCACCCUUGAUAACCCAGAGUUGGGAAUACUUACACACCUUUGAGAUGUUGUGCUGAGGUUAUGAAGUUUUAGGAUGAGUACCAUAAUCAAAACAGGAAGCCUCAGGGCUCCCCUAUCCCCUGGGGUCAGCCCUACUAUGUGUCAUCCCCAGUCGGCUUGCUCUGCUUAGAGCAAUCACAGGACCAGCUCCCUUGAGAAGUCAUCACACCACAACUCCUUCAACCUAACAAGGGCCCCCGAGGCCAGCAAACCAGAGCUCAGACUCAGGAGACACUGCCUGGGCUUUCACAAUCAGGAGGGUCCUUGUCCCCUGAGUCAGGGCAUCUUUGCCUUCUGAGAUGGGGAGCUGAGAAAGCAGCAGCAUGCUGGGAACCAGACAUUAGAGGUUGGAGGCCAGGGAGGAGAAACAUGCUAUCCCUUUAAAGUAGCAUAUCAGCUUCCUGCCUUUCCUAUUCAUCUCCUUGUUCAUCAACCAAGAUUGUCAUGGGAGAAACGUGAGGCGGCUGUGCUUGGCUGAGAGGAAGAUUGGCAGCCGAGUAGCAAAUGUGCGCAGAUCAGCUUCUGGAGACGUGGGGAAGGUAAAAGGAGCAUCUGGAUCUGGAGAAAAACAGACAUGUGCCCAGACCAGUGAUGACAGCAUGACAUGGGCUAAGGAAGAGGAAUCCCUUAUCCUGCACCCAAAGGAGAAAGAGCUCACUUUGCUGAAACAGGUUCAACAUUCCCCCUAGAUUUUCCCUGUUUAUAUUUUGGCAAACUCAUCCCUCGUCCAUCUCUAUCCCUUAUACACUGUUUUAUGUUGUUUGUCAAUGAUCUGACUCCCCAUCUAGGACAGGAGCUACAUAAUGACUAGGAUUUGCCUGUUUUUAUUGCUAAAUCUCUAGCAAGGGAACAGUGCUUCCAUGGAAUAGGAACUAAUGAACUGGAAUCGGUGAGGUCCAUCUCUGAUAGUUUCUUUAAAAAAAAAA